rnacentral:rRNA from 1 species
CCUACGGGUGGCAGCAGUGGGGAAUAUUGGACAAUGGGGGCAACCCUGAUCCAGCCAUGCCGCGUGUGUGAAGAAGGCCCUCGGGUUGUAAAGCACUUUCAGUGAGGAAGAACGCCUGGUGGUUAAUACCCAUCAGGAAAGACAUCACUCACAGAAGAAGCACCGGCUAACUCCGUGCCAGCAGCCGCGGUAAUACGGAGGGUGCGAGCGUUAAUCGGAAUUACUGGGCGUAAAGCGCGCGUAGGUGGCUUGAUAAGCCGGUUGUGAAAGCCCCGGGCUCAACCUGGGAACGGCAUCCGGAACUGUCAAGCUAGAGUGCAGGAGAGGAAGGUAGAAUUCCCGGUGUAGCGGUGAAAUGCGUAGAGAUCGGGAGGAAUACCAGUGGCGAAGGCGGCCUUCUGGACUGACACUGACGCUGAGGUGCGAAAGCGUGGGUAGCAAACAGGAUUAGAUACCCGAGUAGUC